CCUCCCGUCCUCACCCCCACCCACACGUGCGCACACUGCGUGGACUGAUUGCCCCCUGGGCUCAUAUGUUGGAAUCGACCAGGUAGGCCAGCCCUGCCACUGGGGCCUUAGUAAAUGUGCCUGUGUGUGGGUCUCGGUCCAACACAGUUGAUGUACAUCUGUUUACCUGUUAUAGUUGCAAGUUGUUCAGGCUGACAUUGCCUCGAUCGACAGUGAUGCUGUCGUUCACCCGACAAACACUGACUUCUACACCGGUGGUGAAGUAGGUAAUGCGAGCUGGGUGCUGCCGAGUGUGUGUGUGCAUGCUCAGCCGGCCGCGCAGACAGCUUGAUCCUCUGACAGCUACGCAGGCUGCAUUCAUGUCACGCUUCCAGCCGUCCUGACCUUCCCAGGACCUUCAUCCCUGGGUUGUGAACUGGAGAGGUACAGCUGGCCGUCAGCCCUGUGCUUCCCGCAGCGGCCCCCUCGGGCACUUCUGGUUUGGAAACUGGCUCAGCAGCCACACAUUUCUUUCUCUGCCUGGUGAGGUGAGGUGAGGUGCGGCUUUGUUGCAGACUGGGUUCCCCGAGGUGUCAGUUACAGGCUCUGUGCCCACCCAGCUUUCCCCAUGUCAGGGGCGUGUCCACAGACACACGUUAAGGGGUACCCUUUCUAAAUGUGUCCCCACGUGUGAGGUUUCAGUCAGAUUGAAGGUGUUUAUUUUAUAAACAGCACUUGAGGAACACUGUCCUAGACACAGGAAGCACUUGGGUCUCCCCUGGCAGCUGGUGCCCGCUUUGAGUCCAAUGUGCUCAGCUGCUGCGUGCCACUGAGGUAUGCAGAGGCAGGAUGCUGAGUCCUGGAGUUGCAGAUCUGCUGUGUGGGUUUGGUACUUGGCACUACCCUGAGGGGUUAUGUCACAAGGAGGCAUUCCCUGGCUAGGAGGGACCUGAAUCUUAGCCUCACUAUCUACUGGUUAUUGGGCCUGGCCAAGACAUGUAAUUCCUCCAUGCCUCAGUUUCUCUACUUGAUAAUGAGGCGUGUGUGAAGAAUGGGCAGUGUACCUUGGUGUCUAAUCCCAGGCCAUGCUGCUGUUGGGCCUCACUGUGGCUUGACAUAGCCAUGCUGAGCCUGAGCAGUGUUCCAGAGAGAACGAUGACAUUCCUAGCCAGCUCCCAAGACUGUAUUCUCCCAGGAUGAGGUGAGGAGUCCUGUGCUCUGGGUACAGAUUGCUUAGGCCUAAUGCCCAGUGUGGCAAAGUGUCACUGUCAGAGCCUGCUGUCACAGUUGCCUCGGACACUGCGAUGUGGGCUGAUGACUCCUGAACCCUUUGGGUUUCAGACGUGAUGGAAGUGGGCAGUAAUGAAACCAGGCUGCAAGCAAUUAAACCCCCUCCUAAGACAGUAGGCUCAGCCUUCAUCCAGGGCAGUGGAUGGAGGGGGAUCUGUGAAGCUCCCUGGGCAACGUACAUAUCUCAGUCAGGCCCUGGGAGCUGCUGGUGGGGUGAAAGGCUCCUGUUUAGCAGAGUGGCCAUGUGGGAAGAGAUAGAAGUUUUGAGACAGGGUUAUAGCCAGCUGUGACGUGAGCAAGCUGUGGCCCCCACAGAGAGCCCAGUCCUCUCCAGACCGGGUAAUGACAGUGCUGACACCUUACCCUGAUGCACACAGAGAUUGCUCUCUUCUGUGGCUCAUAAGCAGUGUGAGCCGCAGAGUGGGAUCCCCCACAUCCGGGUCACGGCUAGAAACCUCAGUAGGAGGAAAGACCAAGCACCAAGCGGGAACCCAGUCUUCCAAAGCCCACCUCUGCUUUCUCUGCCUAGAGAUCCAGUCCAAACUAGUACUGGCCUCAGAAACCUGUUCCAAUCCCAAAACAGUAAUCAUCCAGAUUCAUGUAUGGCCUC
rnacentral:lncRNA from 1 species